rnacentral:rRNA from 1 species
UACGUAGGUGGCGAGCGUUAUCCGGAAUUAUUGGGCGUAAAGAGCGCGCAGGUGGUUGAUUAAGUCUGAUGUGAAAGCCCACGGCUUAACCGUGGAGGGUCAUUGGAAACUGGUCGACUUGAGUGCAGAAGAGGGAAGUGGAAUUCCAUGUGUAGCGGUGAAAUGCGUAGAUAUUAGGAAGAACACCAGUGGCGAAGGCGCUUCUCUGGACUGUAACUGACGCUGAGGCUCGAAAGCAUGGGGAGCAAACAGGAUUAGA